CACACCUGAAAAAUAUUUUUUAAAAAUAAAAACAAAAUAAUAUAAAUAUUUACAAAUAGAAAAUAGUGAACAAAACGUAACAUUUUUAAGUCUAUUUGAAAAAUCUAUAAUGAAUGUUUUUUACUGAAAUUUACUUAAAUAGUGUAAUUUGGACCACGUGAUGAUUUAAUGACCAAAUUUAGAAUUAUCGCUGCAGUUUUCCUUGAAGUGAUUAAGUUUUUCCCUAAUUACUUAUCAAGUGUUUCCACAAAUUUUUGUGUUUAAUCCUAAUAAAAUUCUAGAUUUGUAUUUAAUUAAAAUAAAUUAUAACAGUCUUGAAAGUGAAACUUUUCGUUUUCUCCUUUUAGCGCCAAACUGUAAACAAGUCUGAAAGUUUUUAACGGCUAUAAAAGCACUUCCAUCUGAUUUUUUGAGUCAUUUUACUUAGUUAUUGUGACUACAAAAUGGCAAGAAAUACAUUCUUCUUGUUAUCAUUGGCUGUGCUAAUGUUGGCAGUAACUGCCCUUUUACCUGUUUCAAACAACAUUAAAACUUUGAACCAAAUAUCAAAUUGUCGAGAAAAACGAGAAAUGAGUAAUGGACAUGUUAACAAUUUACAAAUUUUAAAUAAAAGAGAGCAAAACAAUUUAGAACAUGUGUUUGAAAGAGAGAGAAGACAAGUUGAUGUAAACGAUGGUGACUUCACUAAUUUUAGACAAGGGUCAAGAAGAACACCUCCAACGACUAGAAGCACCAAAAGGAAGACGACAAAGAGGAAGCUAAGGUGGUAUUUUUAAGUGAAGUGAAACAUAAGAUGUGUUAUAUUGUUAUAACAAUAAAGAAGUUUAUUAAAAAGUAUAAGCAAA